rnacentral:misc_RNA from 1 species
UUUGUGCAGUUGGACGAGGACAGGUAAAGCACUUUCUCUACUUUUGGUAUAGUAUUUUUAGCUCAGCUAUUUGGUUUGUGUCUCCAAUUCAUCUUACAAGUUUUGUUUGAAACACCAAACCAGCCUAUGUAUUCACAGUAUCUCUGUAUCUUAAAAUGAAAGAAAGUUUUGCUUGCUGAUAUUAUUGUUUGCAUUGCAAUUUCUAAAGAUACUUUUCUUGUUUCUUCAUGUUUAUAUAUAAUUAUUUGUCUUCUUAAUAAUUAAUAAUUAAAGAAAUGAAAAUCAAUUGCCACAGAAGCUCAACCCAGCAUGUAGCAUACAUACUAGAAAGUUAUAUUACAGAACACAAAUUUAUAAUAAUACAAAUUUAAGUAGUUGAGAUAAUUUUUCAUAG